UUCCAGUUUUCACGUAAUUGAAAAGCUAAACGUGGUUAUUAGCUUCGUGAGAGGUUAUCAAGUCAAUGAACGAACACUUUAUUAAUUACGUAUGAGAGCACUUUAAUAUAUUUGUUAUUUGGUCGUUUACAUAAAAUAUGUUAUAUAUAGGUUAUAUGAGGCAGAAUACAUUUUUAAAACAUUCAUAAACAUUUUCUCAUUGGAUUGAUAACCUAUAUUGUAGAAUGAAUAUAUUCUGGUACUUUUGAUAAUAAAACUUUAUAUACAGUGGAUGUGGAAAGUAUUCGUACACUGAUCUAUUUCCAAAAAAACUAUGUAAAAUUGUAAUUUAUUAACUUAUUUUUUAUAAACAAUGACAUUCUAGAUAUUCUCGGAAAUCUCUAGAAUAGAUAGAGUACAAAAAAAAAAUAGCUAUUUAUGUAAGUUACGAAAUUACCAAAAAAAAACAAUUAAUCGAUAGAAAUGUUGAAGCAAUAAGUAUUCAUAAGUAACGUAUAAACGUCGAUAAAACAGAAUUUGAUUUCUGGUGCUGCCAUUUAGCAGUGAAUUGCUGAACUGCUAAAAAUUUUUUGAUCAGUGUUACCACCACUAAGUACGCAAUCCGAAAGGGUCGUCAUUUGUUCCGCGGCAAUGAAUGUGAUAGGACGCUUUGAAGGACGUGUGUAUUGUGGUGAGUGUCCUUCAUUUGUACAUAUUCGCUUCUAAUCUAAUCGUCAUCCUCUGUUAAUGCUUUUAUCCAAUAAUGAUAGAUAUUUAAUACUAAAUUCAAUUAAUAUCGCGAGAAAAUUGGUACCGGUUUACACUUUUUUUUCGCCGCUUGAGUGUCAAUUGUCGUUGACAUUUUUAAGUUAGAUACAGUCUUCCGCGAGAUAUUUUCAACUCGAUUCUUGUUUAGUUAUAGUACAGCUGUAUUUGUUUCAACAAGCUUACAUUAAUUCGUCGUUUUGUCUGUAGAUUGAAAGCGAUUGAAAUUCGAACGCGAGUGUUGCAUCUCGACGCCAUGACAGUCAACGUGCAAACGAAAUUUCAUCAAGGGAUUGUGCACUCCAGUACGAUAGUUUAUCGUUCCAUAUAUGCGGGUCAAUUACCACAAUCAUCGUGGCAGGUCAAUUAUUGUAAUCAUAGUACACCGUUUCGCGUAUCUGUGAUCGAUGCAGCAUUCAACGGAGUAACGAUGCGGAGGAUGAUAAAAUGGCGCGAAACAGCGACCCUGAUGGCGCGCAUCACGGAAGAGGAAGUCGCGGCGAUAAGAAAAAACGUGACGCCUCCCCCAACGAAAGGGACAUGAAAAUAUACAUGAAAAAAUUACUCCGAGAAAAAUUGUUUCGAGUAGUAAAUCGCGUCGCAGGCGAUCGUUUCGUAAACUAUCGAGGAGCGGCCAUCGCCGCGUAAAUGACUAGCGAAUCUUUAUUGUUUCAUGGUGUUUCACCGUCUGUCAGCGCGCACGUUCGUUUCCCCGUGUGAACCGUCUCGGUUCGUCACGAUGGAAAUGUUCGACGCAAAUGAUGGAUCGAUCUCUAUGUUUCGAUCGGGAAUUGUUCGCGAUCGUUUAUCAUCGUUCGUCAUGUGUCGGGUUACGGAACGUUUCUCAACAGAAAUACAAGUUUUUUUUUUCGGUAGGAAAGCGCGGGAUAUAGUUGAACCUUUGUUAGCGAAAAUGAACAUCGAUCUAGACAUAUCGUAGGGAUUAUGUAAAGCCGGCGACUAACUUGUAACAGAACAUUGUAAUGUAACGAGAACAUUCGCUUAUUGUUAAACCGGCGACUGACUUGCAACAGAAUGCUGUAAUGUAACUGCUUGGCACGAUUUGUACGGUUCGGCACCAGCGUUACAUUACAAGGUCGUUUUUGGAAUCACGAAUGCUCGCUUCGAACUCUCGGCUGAAUUAUCUCUCGAUGCUUCCUACUAGCGCGAACCGAACUCAAGACCGGCUCGUUUAGUUGCUCGCUAGCCCGUUAAGACUAAGCAAAUGCUCGCGUUAAGCCGGCGACUGACUUGCAACAGAACAUUAUAAUGUAACGCGAGCAUUCGCUUAGUCUGGACGGCCUCCUGCGCUCGGUUCGCUCUCGACCGUGGUCCACUGGUCUGUCGGUUUUUUGACGAACCUCUUUGAUCGUCUACUUUUCACUGAACUGAGUAGGAAGCAUUGCGAGAGAAUUCAACCGAGAGUUCGAAGCGAGCAUUCGUGAUUCCAAAAACGACCUUGUAAUGUAACGUUGGUGUCGAACCGUAAAAUUCGUACCGAGCAGUUACAUUACAGCAUUCUGUUGCAAGUCAGUCGUCGGCUUAAAAUUCAUGCCGAGCAGUUACAUUACAGCGUUCUG